rnacentral:rRNA from 1 species
AGCAGUAGGGAAUCUUCGGCAAUGGGGGGAACCCUGACCGAGCAACGCCGCGUGAGUGAAGACGGCCUUCGGGUUGUAAAGCUCUGUUGUAAGGGAAGAACUGAUAUGAGAGAAUCGUAUCUUGACGGUACCUUACCAGAAAGCCACGGCUAACUACGUGCCAGCAGCCGCGGUAAUACGUAGGUGGCGAGCGUUAUCCGGAAUUACUGGGCGUAAAGGGUGCGCAGGCGGUCUUUUAAGUUUAAGGUGAAAGCGUGGGGCUCAACCCCAUAUAGCCUUAAAUACUGGAAGACUAGAGUACUGGAGAGGGAAGUGGAAUUCCAUGUGUAGACGGUGGAAU